rnacentral:rRNA from 1 species
UACGUAGGGUGCAAGCGUUGUCCGGAAUUAUUGGGCGUAAAGAGCUCGUAGGCGGUUUGUUGCGUCGGCUGUGAAAUCCCGAGGCUCAACCUCGGGUCUGCAGUCGAUACGAGCAAACUAGAGUGUUGCAGGGGAGACUGGAAUUCCUGGUGUAGCGGUGAAAUGCGCAGAUAUCAGGAGGAACACCGGUGGCGAAGGCGGCAUCCUGGACCGGCAUUGACGCUGAGGAGCGAAAGCUAGGGGAGCAAACGGG